rnacentral:sRNA from 1 species
AGUGCUCUGGCUGCAACAGUGUCACUCCAUUGAUUGCCUGGCUUGAUUCGGCUGGUCUGACGGGCUAGGCAGCUGGCCCUCUCAGAGCUCUGCACUGGGAGGGACCUUCCCAGAAUAGACUAGAGGAGGAGCCAUCUUGGAUGGAGGAUAGAGGGGUAGCGGUGAGAACUUCAAACAGGUCUCGAGGCCCACCUGACCUUCCUGCCCUGUGUGAGCUUAUCCACAGCAGAGCAAGGAAUGAGGUUUU